rnacentral:rRNA from 1 species
UUUCCCUCAGGAUAGCUGGCACUCGCUCGAUAGCGAGUCUCAUCUGGUAAAGCGAAUGAUUAGAGGCCUUGGGGCCGAAACGACCUCAACCUAUUCUCAAACUUUAAAUGGGUGAGAUCUCUGGCUUGCUUGAACGUUGAAGCCACGAGAUCGGGCCUCGUCGUUCAAAAGACGGCGGGAGCCUCAUGGAUCANAGUGCCAAGUGGGCCAAUUUUGGUAAGCAGAACUGGCGCUGUGGGA